UACGGAGGAUUCAAGCGUUAUCCGGAUUUAUUGGGUUUAAAGGGUGCGUAGGCGGUCGGAUAAGUUAGAGGUGAAAUCCCGAGGCUCAACUUCGGAAUUGCCUCUGAUACUGUUCGGCUAGAGAGCAGGAGAGGGCGGUGGAACUCCAUGUGUAGCGGUAAAAUGCGUAGAUAUAUGGAAGAACACCAGUGGCGAAGGCGGCCGCCUGGCCUGUUACUGACGCUGAGGCACGAAAGCGUGGGGAGCAAAUAGG
rnacentral:rRNA from 1 species